rnacentral:rRNA from 1 species
GAUGAACGCUGGCGGCGUGCCUAAUACAUGCAAGUCGAGCGAACAGACGAGGAGCUUGCUCCUCUGACGUUAGCGGCGGACGGGUGAGUAACACGUGGAUAACCUACCUAUAAGACUGGGAUAACUUCGGGAAACCGGAGCUAAUACCGGAUAAUAUAUUGAACCGCAUGGUUCAAUAGUGAAAGACGGUUUUGCUGUCACUUAUAGAUGGAUCCGCGCCGCAUUAGCUAGUUGGUAAGGUAACGGCUUACCAAGGCAACGAUGCGUAGCCGACCUGAGAGGGUGAUCGGCCACACUGGAACUGAGACACGGUCCAGACUCCUACGGGAGGCAGCAGUAGGGAAUCUUACGCAAUGGGCGAAAGCCUGACGGAGCAACGCCGCGUGAGUGAUGAAGGUCUUCGGAUCGUAAAACUCUGUUAUUAGGGAAGAACAAAUGUGUAAGUAACUAUGCACGUCUUGACGGUACCUAAUCAGAAAGCCACGGCUAACUACG